UUCCUUAUCUUCGUCGAUUCCCUUCUCCUUCUCUUCUCCCCGCGUCACCGAGCCCUCCCCAUUCCUCUCCCUCUCCCACUCGCGAUGCCGACAUCGUCUCCCUCUCGCGACCCUGACUCCCGAUCCACCGCCUACUUCUCCUCAUCACCAUCCCUUCUUCUUCUUCCCUGAUCCAUUAUCACUAAUCGAUCAUCGACUCCACCCUCUGCUCCUCACGGCGACGGCAUCUCAUCGUUUCCUCUUCGCCCGAGCUACCCUGUGUUGGGUUGUCUUCUGCCAAGCGCAAGGAAUUUUUAUGUGCUCUAGCUCUGGAUUCAUCGUCGGGGCGGAUCUAUCGCCACCCUUCUCUACUCCAGUGCGGCACCACAAUAGCCACCACUGGGCUUCUUUUCGAUUUAUCGCCGUCGUGCCCUAGAGCCCUAAUGUGCUCUGUUCAGAUUCAGGAGAAGGACAACCAUUAGAGGAACCAUCUCCUCUUUGGAUUCAAAGAGGAGAGCUUCAACUCCUCAUAACUGCGUUUGGUGUCUUUGUUGGGCAGCUACGGAUCUAAGGGGGAGCUCCAUUUUCUCCACAGUAGUUUCAAAUUUGUCUUCAUCGAGGGUUGCGAAUUUGGAUUGGGGGUGAGCCUUGCAAGCUCCAACCAACAGUAAUUUGGAGUAACUUGUAGUUUCGGCAUUCUUUGUUCACGGGCGAGUAGUGCCUUACAUGAAGUCUUCUUACUGCUACACUUAAGAGAUCAGUAGCUCCAUUGUAGAUUCGGACAUCACUUGUUGAGAGUGAUUCACCAUUUCUUGGCAGCAAGUAUCUAUGGCUGUAUGAUAACCACAAAGUCUCCAAUUUUAGGACGUUGAUUCGAGACAAGCGUCUUGACGUGGGAUUUGUUCUGAUACGAACUACAGAUAAA